UGCUUAGGAAUCUGCCUAGUAGUGGGGGAUAACUUGGGGAAACUCAAGCUAAUACCGCAUACGACCUACGGGUGAAAGGGGGCGCAAGCUCUCGCUAUUAGAUGAGCCUAAGUCGGAUUAGCUAGUUGGUGGGGUAAAGGCCUACCAAGGCGACGAUCUGUAGCUGGUCUGAGAGGAUGAUCAGCCACACUGGGACUGAGACACGGCCCAGACUCCUACGGGAGGCAGCAGUGGGGAAUAUUGGACAAUGGGCGAAAGCCUGAUCCAGCCAUGCCGCGUGUGUGAAGAAGGCCUUUUGGUUGUAAAGCACUUUAAGUAGGGAGGAAAAGCUAAUGGUUAAUACCCAUUAGCCCUGACGUUACCUACAGAAUAAGCACCGGCUAACUCUGUGCCAGCAGCCGCGGUAAUACAGAGGGUGCAAGCGUUAAUCGGAAUUACUGGGCGUAAAGCGCGCGUAGGUGGUUACUUAAGUCAGAUGUGAAAGCCCCGGGCUUAACCUGGGAACUGCAUCUGAUACUGGGUAACUAGAGUAGGUGAGAGGGGGGUAGAAUUCCAGGUGUAGCGGUGAAAUGCGUAGAGAUCUGGAGGAAUACCGAUGGCGAAGGCAGCUCCCUGGCAUCAUACUGACACUGAGGUGCGAAAGCGUGGGUAGCAAACAGGAUUAGAUACCCUGGUAGUCCACGCCGU
rnacentral:rRNA from 1 species